rnacentral:tRNA from 1 species
GCCGAAGUGGCGGAACUGGUAGACGCGCAUGAUUCAGGGUCAUGUGGGGGUAUCCUCGUGGGGGUUCGAGUCCCCCCUUCGGCACCA